GAGAAGCUUCGACUAAGGUUCGAUUCGAGCGAAAGCGAGAAAGCGUUGCCGCAGGCAACGACCCGAAGGGCGAAGCGCGCAGCGC
rnacentral:sRNA from 1 species